GUAGGUGGCAAGCGUUGUCCGGAAUUAUUGGGCGUAAAGCGCGCGCAGGCGGUCCUUUAAGUCUGAUGUGAAAGCCCACGGCUCAACCGUGGAGGGUCAUUGGAAACUGGGGGACUUGAGUACAGAAGAGGAAAGCGGAAUUCCAAGUGUAGCGGUGAAAUGCGUAGAGAUUUGGAGGAACACCAGUGGCGAAGGCGGCUUUCUGGUCUGUAACUGACGCUGAGGCGCGAAAGCGUGGGGAGCAAACAGGAUUAGAUACCCUGGUAGUCCACGCCGUAAACGAUGAGUGCUAAGUGUUAGGGGGUUUCCCGCCCCCCUUAGUGCUGCAGCUAACGCAUUAAGCACUCCGCCUGGGAGUACGGCCGCAAGGCUG
rnacentral:rRNA from 1 species